CAGGGCCCGAUGCUUCAAUUAGCUACGCACUGCUUGGAGCAUUACUUUUUAUUUCAAUCGGGAUCAACAUAGGAUUAAUUAUUGACCGUCUAAGAACAAAAAUGAGAACGUCACCGCCUGGAAGACCUGACAACGAAAUACAUUAUCAGAAUACAGUGAAUGUCAAUGAGAACUACGCCAAUCUUGAUUCAUCGAAAAUUGAACGAUCAAGCAACAUCUAUGAGACCAUAGGCACGUAAUGUGGCUAAGAUAGGCAAAAAAUACUAUUUUACUUAUUGAUUUCUGCUGAACUAAAGUUUACAUUCUUGCUAAUAUUUGUGAUAUACAUGUAUGUGAGAACUAUUGACGCAUCAAAACAAGCAUGUAUGAUACAGAAAUGUUUGUUAACUUACAAUAAUAAGAGCGAAGCUCUUUAAUGGUAACACAUGAGUGCGUAAACGGAGUUGCUUCCCAUUGCUACACGUUGCCUUUAAUUUUUUCGUCCGGAAGUAGACGUCCAGUGGGGAAACAGGAAGUGUAUCCUUGAAGUAAAGACAAAUGUGUUUCAACCCAUCCAUGAAUAUCUUCAUAUAGUGAAAACAAUCUUCAUGUUUUAUUACUUGUUUAU